GACAGAGGGUGCAAACGUUGUUCGGAAUUACUGGGCGUAAAGCGCGUGUAGGCGGUUUGGUAAGUCGGAUGUGAAAGCCCUCGGCUCAACUGAGGAAGUGCAUCCGAAACUGAGUGGCUAGAGUAUGGAAGAAGGUCGCGGAAUUCCCGGUGUAGAGGUGAAAUUCGUAGAUAUCGGGAGGAACACCGGUGGCGAAGGCGGCGACCUGGGCCAAUACUGACACUGAGGUGCGAAAGCGUGGGGAGCAAACAGG
rnacentral:rRNA from 1 species